rnacentral:lncRNA from 1 species
GAAGUUAAUGGAAAUGCCAUCAGUUAGGCGGCGCUCGGGAGUGGAGGCAGAUUGAAAUGGGAGUUGAAGAGAGAAAACGUCCAAGCCAUACUGAGGCCUGCCAACUGUGGUGAAGACGAUGGUACCUUUGGGGUCCAUUAAAGCGGUAGUCUGUGCGAGUUGAGUGUAGAAGAUGGAGUGGGAAAGAAGGUGAGGUGGGGGAGAAUUUGUAGAGAAGUGGCGACUGUGAAUGAAGUGUUUGGAGGUGGGUUUAAGAUUACGUAUGAGAUGACGUAACAUCCUUAUCCUUCCAAGAAAAUUUGGAGAUAAUUGUGUUGAAUGGGGUGUGAAAGGAAUCGAAAUGAAAUAAUUUGGAAUUUCAAAUCUGGACUCUUGUCUCUUCCUAACAUUCUCGGAAAAAACCAGAGGGGAAAGAAAAUGUUUUGUUGAUUAAAUAAAGCAAGAAAAGAUAUGACACUGUUGUUUAUUUUAUUUUCGGAAUGGGCAUUUUGCUUUUCUUUUUUCUUUUUUUUGGUUAUUCUUCAUCUUUGCGUGAAGCAGGUGGAGGUAAUUGGGCAACUGCCGUGCGUAGCUUUUGUUUGUUGUCCAGGAGAGUCGUUCCAACACGUAUUUGGACGGAUUUGUGCACAUCAUUACAUUGAAUGUUAAAAUUCCAUUUUUCAUAAAUUUUGUGAAAUUUA